GGGCGAUAAGCCUAUCAACUUGACAGGAAGUCCUUUCUAUAUUUCCACCUGGAACUCAUUCAUUGCAGUAGGUUGCGACAUCCGUGCUUUAUUGAUGGAUGAUCCGCUCCUACGCAUUGGGUGCGACUCAAGAUGCCAUGGCCAAAAGGACAUUGAUUUGCGAGAAAUGCUUCCUAAACUUCAAACAAUUGAUUCCAAUGGAUAUAUUUUGACAGGAAGCGAUUGUAAUGGUACCGAUUGCUGCAAGACUAGCGUGCCUUCAGCCAAUCAGAUGGUUUUCCAUCCAAUUUUCAAUCAAAGCACAGAUGGUUGCAAG
rnacentral:misc_RNA from 1 species